ACUCAAAUGAAUUGACGGGGACCCGCACAAGCAGUGGAUCAUGUGGUUUAAUUCGAUGUUACACGAAAAACCUUACCAACCCUUGACAUCCCGUUGACCGGUACAGAGAUGUACUUUUGGAGCAAUCCACAAUGGAGACAGGUGUUGCACGGCCGUCGUCAGCUCGUGUCGUGAGAUGUUAGGUUAAGUCCUUAAACGAGCGCAACCCUCGUCCUUAUUUGCCAUCGGGUCAUGCCGGGAACUAUAAGGAAACUGCCGGCGACAAGCUGGAGGAAGGUGGGGACGAUGUCAGGUCAUCAUGGCCCUUAUGGGUUGGGCUACACACAUGAUACAAUGGUGGUUACAGCGGGACGCAAUGGAGCAAUCCUGAGCCAAUCCUUAAAAGCCAUCUCAGUUCAGAUUGGGGGCUGCAACUCGCCCCCAUGAAGUUGGAAUUGCUAGUAAUCGUGGAUCAGCACGCCACGGUGAAUACGUUCUCGGGUCUUGUACACACCGCCCGU
rnacentral:rRNA from 1 species